rnacentral:rRNA from 1 species
ACGUAGGGGGCUAGCGUUGUUCGGAAUUACUGGGCGUAAAGGGUUAGUAGGUGGCCAACUAAGUCAGACGUGAAAUCCCUCAGCUUAACUGGGGAACUGCGUCUGAGACUGAUUGGCUCGAGGACAGGAGAGGAACGCGGAAUUCCAGGUGUAGCGGUGAAAUGCGUAGAUAUCUGGAGGAACACCGGAGGCGAAGGCGGCUCACUGGGGAUUUUCUGACGCUGAGGGACGAAAGCCAGGGGAGCGAACGGGA